ACAAGUUUAUUUACAACAUCAGGUCGCUUACAAAAAUAUUGGCUUAAUCAAAAAGGGAUUGUCCUAUGAUUAGUGAGUCAAACAUGUUUGCCAAUUCUGUUUUCUACACUUCCUCAAACUCCAGGACUUUUGGUCCUCCACCAACAUCAUUUAGGGACCUGAAAAUGGUUAUACAAUAACCAGUGGGACAAUAUCUCAGCAAGUUCUACUUCCUAAGACCCAAUUAGGAAGAAAAUAUGCCUUAGGGCUGUCUAAGCAUAAUCACGAGUUAGAGGGCUUACCUUGGUCUCAGUUCCUUCUUGCAAGUCAGUUCAAUGUGAAAAUACUGACAACCAUGUCAUCCAAUCAAUUAGAUCGAUUCAUUGAUCAAUCGACUCAGUCAAUACAUGCUAACAAGACCACUUCCGGUCAUUUCAACUAUUCCAACUCAAUUCCCAAUUAUGAAUCACGGUCCUUAGGACACAACUUAUUUAUAGGUGGUAAUCACGGCCUCACCGAGCAAUUUUCUUAGAUUUAGUGGCAUCAUGGCCACACUCGGCAACUUCCAAUAUUUAGUGGCAUCACGGCCCCACUCGGCAAAUUUCUUAUAAUUGGUCAGAUUUAGUGGUAUCACGGCCCCACUCGGCAAUUAGAAUUAUACC
rnacentral:lncRNA from 1 species